UAUGGGCAACUGGUUAAAUUUUCCUCCACACAGGUUUUGAUAAAUCUUCCCCUAUGUGUGUGAUUCGUUAACCCCUUAAGAACCAGGGGACUAUCAACAGCAAUUACUUAAUUGCUAUUACAGUUCAUUGCUAUGCAUUGGUAUUGCUGACAUCUGCUAUUAGAGGUGAGGUCCGGCUGUCUAUGAAGUCUUUCAAAUAGUGCCACAUCUGUCCUGGGAUUGUGUGUAGGAUUUAGUCAAGUAAUGCUAUCCACCACCCACUGCAGCAUAACCACGCCCCCCUGGAGACCAUGUGACUUAUACAUGAAAAUGGGACAAAAUGGAACAUGGAGACUUCGAUGGGAGAAAAACACCACGAUUUUAG